rnacentral:rRNA from 1 species
GACGAACGCUGGCGGCGUGCUUAACACAUGCAAGUCGAGCGGUAAGGCCCUUUCGGGGGUACACGAGCGGCGAACGGGUGAGUAACACGUGGGUGACCUGCCCUCAGCUCUGGGAUAAGCCUGGGAAACCGGGUCUAAUACUGGAUAUGACUCCAUGACGCAUGUUGUGGGGUGGAAAGCCUUGUGCGGCUGAGGAUGGGCCCGCGGCCUAUCAGCUUGUUGGUGGGGUGAUGGCCUACCAAGGCGACGAUCGGUAGCUGGUCUGAGAGGACGACCAGCCACACUGGGACUGAGACACGGCCCAGACUCCUACGGGAGGCAGCAGUGGGGAAUAUUGGACAAUGGGCGCAAGCCUGAUCCAGCGAUGCCGCGUGUGUGAAGAAGGCCUGCGGGUUGUAAAGCACUUUCAGUAGGGAAGAAAAGCCGAGUGCUAAUAUCACUCGGUCUUGACGUUACUUACAGAAGAAGCACCGGCUAACUCCGUGCCAGCC